rnacentral:rRNA from 1 species
GAUGAACGCUGGCGGCGUGCUUAACACAUGCAAGUCGAACGGGAAGCCAUCUUCGGAUGGUGGAGAGUGGCGCACGGGUGCGUAACACGUAGCUCAUCUGCCCUAGAGACGGGGAUAACGUUGGGAAACCAACGCUAAAACCCGAUAAGCUCACGAGAAGUAGCAUAUCGUGAGAAAAACUCCGGUGCUCUAGGAUGAGGCUGCGGCCCAUCAGCUAGUUGGUAAGGUAACGGCUUACCAAGGCGACGACGGGUAGGGGACCUGAGAGGGUGGACCCCCACACUGGCACUGAGACACGGGCCAG